rnacentral:rRNA from 1 species
GAUCCAGGUCUCCCUGCAGUUCUCACCUGGUUUCCCACUGAAGCAAAGCAGGGUUGAGUCUGGGCAGUACCUGGAUAGGAAAAGGGGAACCUGGAU